GCCGGGUGCGGUGGCAUGUGCCUGUAAUCCAAGUCACUGGGAGGCUGAGGUUGGUGGAUCUAGUGAGCUGAGGAGCUCUGGGCUGCAGCACGCUAUGUCGAAUGGGUGUCCACGCCAAGUUCGGUAUCGGAUAUGGUGUUCCUCGGGGAGCCCGGGACCACCAGGUUGUCUAAGGAGGGGUGAACCGGCCCAGGUCGGAAACGAAGCAGGUCAAAUCCCCCGUGCUGUCCAGUAGUGGGAUAAUACCUGUGAGUAGAUGCUGCAGUGCAGCCUUGGCAAAACAUUCGAGACCUAAUCUUUC
rnacentral:SRP_RNA from 1 species